rnacentral:rRNA from 1 species
ACGUAAUAGAUACCCUGGUAGUCCACGCCCUAAACGAUGUCUACUAGUUGUUGGUGGAGUAAAAUCCAUGAGUAAACGCAGCUAAACGCGUGAAGUAGACCGCCUGGGGAGUACGGUCGCAAGAUUAAAAACUCAAAGGAAUUGACGGGGGCCCGCACAAGCGGUGGAUUAUGUGGAUUAAAUUCGAUGCAACGCGAAAAACCUUACCUGGCCUUGACAUGCCACUAACGAAGCAGAGAUGCAUUAGGUGCCCGUAAGGGAAAGUGGACACAGGUGCUGCAUGGCUGUCGUCAGCUCGUGUCGUGAGAUGUUGGGUUAAGUCCCGCAACGAGCGCAACCCUUGCCAUUAAUUGCCAUCAUUUAGUUGGGCACUUUAAUGGGACUGCCGGUGACAAACCGGAGGAAGGUGGGGAUGACGUCAAGUCCUCAUGGCCCUUAUGGCCAGGGCUUCACACGUAAUACAAUGGUCGGUACAGAGAGUUGCCAACCCGCGAGGGGUAGCUAAUCUCAGAAAGCCGAUCGUAGUCCGGAUUGUUCU